rnacentral:rRNA from 1 species
UACGAAAGGCCCAAACGUUAUUCGGAAUCACUGGGCUUAAAGAGUUCGUAGGCGGUCUGUCAAGUCGUGUGUGAAAGCCCUCGGCUCAACCGAGGAAUUGCGCUCUAAACUGUCGUACUUGAGGAGCCUAGAGGUGAGCAGAACAGAUGGUGGAGCGGUGAAACGCGUUGAUAUCAUCUGGAAUACCGGAGGCGAAGGCGGCUCACUGGGGGUUUUCUGACGCUGAGGAACGAAAGCCAGGGUAGCGAACGGG